GGAGAAUUCAGAGAGGCCUCCAGAGGAGUUGUCUGCAGAGAUAGAAACAGAAAUCUCCAAGGAACUCUAUCGCACCCCAGACUUCCAAUGCCUCGGACAGAGUGCCCGGUGCACCUCUGAGCCCUGCUAGGGUCUCACUGAAUUGCCCAGACUGGCCUCAAAUUUGUG